AUAAAUUCUCUCCCUUUUGGCUAAGAUCAAGUGUAGUAUCUGUUCUUAUCAGGUUAAUAUCCAAUAUGUCCUUUAUAUGAGGACUUUAUAUUAAACAGAUUUUUAGAGCCGGAAGCUGGAAAAGGGGCUUGCUCUGUCCGCUCCAUGCAUCGACCUGGUAUUGCAGUACUUCCAUGCUUGGUGCACUAUUU